CUUUUCAUUGUAAGCUUCACUGCAGUGCAUAUCCUCUCAUUAUAUCUUGCACCUGUUAGUUUUUACAUGACUAUAUCACCACAGGACUGAGGAUAUAUUUGCCCUAAAAUCAGAAAUGUUCUUCGUAUUUCCUCCUCAACCACCUGUUUCUCAGCUGCCGAGGUCUAAGUGGUGACAGGAUGGCAGUCUUUUGCAUUUUACAGUAGCACAUCUACCAGUGAGCACAAAUCAAACUGCAAAGAAAGGGGAUUGGAGCUGAGAUCCAGAAAACCAAAGAGGUUUUUGUAAAGGCAACAGAAAAACUGAGAAAGAUAAGUGAUAACUAUGGGCUGAGAAUUAUAGUGAAGAGUUAAAUCUGAUUUGAGUCUACAACAAGCUACAGGUAACAUGUAUAUGGCAAGGGUAAAAUACUAUUCUCUGUGGAAAUUAUGGAAACUUUUAAAGAAACAUACCCAAUAGAAAUAUUUCUCAUCAGGAAUAAUAUCAACACUAUACUUUUAUCUUUGAUCAUGGAUCAUUUCUCUUAUGAUCAGCCCCCACUGAUCCACAGUUGAAGGUCAUGUCCUUUUAUCAAGGCCUUUACCAUUAAUUGCAGAUUAUCCUGCAAUUCUUUGCUUCUAAAUUUGCAGUUUACCAUGAAUUGCAGAUUAUUUUACAAUUCUUUGUUUUCAAGUUUGCACCAGUUUGAAAAUAGAGUCUUAGCUAAUGUCUAAAGGGAUUUUCUUUCCUUCAACAUGCUUUAGAAAUCGCUGAUGAUUUGUUUUUCUUUACUCCAGAACUCUCCAUUUGGGUGGCCCUGUGGCUCUGUGUCUCUCUGUAUGCUCUUUGCUGGGAGCCCCUUUAGCUCUGGAAAUGCUAGCUGUAGCCUCUAUAAACUGCUGUUUCUCCAAUCUGCCUGCUAUCUUCUACUCAGCUGCCUCACAGCCCUAUGGUAAUGGGAAAGAUUUUCGCAGUUCCUGGCUAUUUUCAAGAAAAGAGGAGUAAUUUGCAGAUUAGUCUGUGAUAAAAAAAAAUAGUCUGCCUCACUGCAGAUACUCUGUGCUAAGGUUUUAAAGGUUGUGGUUAGAGACCUAUGGGUCCUGAAAUCUGCAAAGAAUAUGAAUCCCUGCUUGAAAAAUUUUUAAUGAGUGAUAACUGGGUUUUGACAUAUGACACACUUCUUAUUUUAGAUCAUGAUGAAAACAUCUUUGAAAUUACUCUUUUAUUUAUUUAAUGUAUAAGUUACUUUAAUGUAUAAACUAUUUAAGUAUCCAACUACUGGCAGAUAUUUGAGCUUUUACUCUUUAGAUUUUCAUGCUCACUGUUGUGGGUAUCUAUGUUGAAGUGAACCAUUGAAACAAUUGGAUAAGAAUUGUGAAUGAAAGGAGUUCCUGUCGUGGUGCAGUGAUUAAUGAACCCAACUAGUAUCCAUGAGGAUGCGGGUUCCAUCCCUGGCCUUUCUCAGUGGGUUGGGGAUCUGGUGUUGCUGUGAGCUGUGGAAUAGGUCACAGACACGGCUCAGAUCCUGUGUUGCUGUGGCUGUGGUAUAGGCUGGCAUCUGGAGCUCCAAUUCAACCCCUAGCCUGGGAACCUUCAUAUGCCUCGGGUGUGGCCCUAAAAAGACAAAAAAAAGAAAGAAAGAAAGAAAAAAAAAA
rnacentral:lncRNA from 1 species